rnacentral:rRNA from 1 species
GAGGAAUAUUGGUCAAUGGACGGAAGUCUGAACCAGCCAAGUCGCGUGAAGGACGAAGGUAUUAUGUAUUGUAAACUUCUUUUGCAGGGGAAUAAAGUGAGGCUUGCGAGCCUUUUUGCAAGUACCCUGCGAAUAAGGAUCGGCUAACUCCGUGCCAGCAGCCGCGGUAAUACGGAGGAUCCGAGCGUUAUCCGGAUUUAUUGGGUUUAAAGGGUGCGUAGGCGGAGAUUUAAGUCAGUGGUGAAAGUUUAGGGCUCAACCUUAAAAUUGCCAUUGAAACUGGAUUUCUUGAGUACGGUAGAGGUAGGCGGAAUUUGUGGUGUAGCGGUGAAAUGCUUAGAUAUCACGAAGAACUCCGAUUGCGAAGGCAGCUUACCGGACCGUAACUGACGCUGAGGCACGAAAGUGUGGGGAUCAAAC